GACAAAUGUUUGCUCCUUUGAAGGGAGAUUACUCCCAUUUAUUUGCAUGUGCGGCGUGAGCACCAACUAUGGUUCAAUUAUUCCGUGCCUGUCAGUCUUUAUAUGGACAUUUGCUGACUAAAGGUUUUUCUUUGAGAAACAAUUUAACCAAUACCAUUUUAGGUUUUCCUGACAUGUCUAGUUUCUUUUAUGGUAGAUUUAUGGCAACAUUAAAUCAGAUACACAGAGCUGGACCUCCUAAAUUUAAAACUCCAUUAAAGCGUGGAGUUUUGGACGGAAGACCAUUUCUUAGAGGUGUUGUUUUAAAAACUAUGAUUAAAAAGCCUGUAAAACCUAACUCUGCAAAUCGUAAAUG